CCUGGCACCAGGCCUCGUCUCCCCUUCUUGCUGUGCCGGCGCAUGGCCGUGGCGGGUCUGAAAGAGCCUGCCUGUGCCUGCCGGAGGGGGGGAUGAAGCCAUGCCUCAUGGCCAUGAGCUGGCAGCUGUACCCAUGCCAGCACUCAUGGCAGAGGCCAUGGCUGCACGUGGGACACCCGGUGUGCCAAGGCACAGCCGGAAAGGAGCACGCGUGAGCUCCCAUGCGCAAUGGCGCACUGGGAUAGGGUUCUGUCCACGCCAUGCCCACAGCCGUGCCCCUCACACUGAUCUGCCUCCUGUUGUGUGCGCAGGUGAAGCCAUGGCAGAGAAGAACACCUGUGAAAAACUGACGGAAGACAACGCUGAGUCAGGCGCACUGCUGCAGGAGCUCAUGGAGGUGUGUGAGCCACCUGCAGAAACCCCGCAGGGCAGAGCUGCUGGGCCACGCAGCCAGGGCGACGCAGGGCUUGCUCAGGCCGAGCCUUGCUGUGCGCUGGCAAUGGGCUGCAAACACCCUUUCCCACCCUGCAUCCAUGCAACUGGUCCCAAUUGCCUUGCAGUGUAAGAAGAGGUCUGCGGAGCUGGCAGCUGUUCUCCGAGAGCAGACCAAAGUCCGUGAGGUAUGCAGGGUGGGAGGGAGAGAAUGGAGAGCAGCGCAUUGAUCGGGGAAAGCCCCCUGCCAGCAGACACGGGACGGGCUCUUGACCGGACCCUUUCCUUCUCCAGGCACUGAAGGAGGACGUGGAGAUGGAGAUGAAAAAACUCCAGAAGGCACAACGGAGGGUCCAAAAGCGCACUGCCCCCAGGAGGAAGAUGACACGCAGGGAAGAGCACAUGAGUUCCCUGCUGCAGGAGACAGUGGCUGUGCGAUUGGAUGAGCAGGCGGCAGCAAAGAAGCACCCACUUGUAACUUCCUGGCUGCGGGCGUUUCUGCUGUUCUUGGGCCUGCUGCAGCUUGUCUUCUUCACCCUGUUUGUGCUACAGAAGGACAUCCUUCACUGGGUCCUGCCUGGAGAGCUGGCGACUGCCCUUGGCAUCCGUCCACCUAAGCCCGCUCUUUUCUGACCCCACAACACACUGCGGCCCUUCAUCGGGACACCAUUGGGUCUGCACAAGCAUAAGGGGUUUGUCACCAUUGUCACCCUGUCACCAAUCAUGUCAAUA
ensembl:lncRNA